rnacentral:misc_RNA from 1 species
UACGAACCGGACACACGUUAUUCGGAAUUAUUGGGCUUAAAGGGUGCGUAGGCGGCCGCGUAAGUCGGGUGUGACAUCCCUCGGCUCAACCGAGGAAUUGCGCCCGAUCCUGCGUGGCUUGAGGGAGACAGAGGCGAGCGGAACUGAUGGUGGAGCGGUGAAAUGCGUUGAUAUCAUCAGGAACACCGGUGGCGAAGGCGGCUCGCUGGGUCUCUUCUGCCGCUCUUGCACGAAAGCUAGGGUAGCGAACAUG